AAUCUACCCAGCCUCUACGGAAUAACUCAGGGAAACUUGUGCUAAUACCGUAUACGUCCGAUAGGAGAAAGAUUUAUCGGAGUUGGAUGAGCCCGCGUUGGAUUAGCUAGUUGGUGGGGUAAUGGCCUACCAAGGCGACGAUCCAUAGCUGGUCUGAGAGGAUGAUCAGCCACACUGGGACUGAGACACGGCCCAGACUCCUACGGGAGGCAGCAGUGGGGAAUAUUGGACAAUGGGCGCAAGCCUGAUCCAGCCAUGCCGCGUGAGUGAUGAAGGCCCUAGGGUUGUAAAGCUCUUUCACCGGUGAAGAUAAUGACGGUAACCGGAGAAGAAGCCCCGGCUAACUUCGUGCCAGCAGCCGCGGUAAUA
rnacentral:rRNA from 1 species